CUUACUUUAGUUUAAUAAAGAAUGGGGAUUUUGGGGAUCUUUGGUCUCAGUUUUAGAGAAGUUUGG
rnacentral:tRNA from 1 species